rnacentral:lncRNA from 1 species
AGAGCUUGGUUGCCCCAGAGGAGAGGUUGCAGGUCCUUAGGUGCUCCUCCCACUUUUUCCGCUUAUGACUGUUUACGACUCGUCGAAUCUCAUGUUACGUGUUUACCUAAACGUUGUUAGAUCGCCGAAAAAGUGACAGUCCUUCGCAGGGUCAACUCUGGCGCGUAGAAUCUUCUGUCAUGAGAAUUGAGGAGACAGUUCGGUUCCUACGGAAGGCUAGAUAAGACCUUUUAUACGAUAUUGAAAAGACGACUUGGUAUGCCUUAAACAUCAGUUUGUACAGAGAUACAGGUUUUCAUUAGAACUUGUCUCCUGUCGUUCUUCUUUGUGUUUACGCACGUUUUUUUUCAAUUGAUCGACAGGGACAGGAUAGUGAUCUCGGUGUAUUACAGGAUUGCAGCAUAUUUUUUCUUUUGUUUUUAUAAAUAAAUAGCUAAUGCGGGCGAAGAAAAUUUUACUAAACAAAUAACAACAUAAUAGAUGAGUUUGUGUGCCGAACGAAAAAUUGCUUAAUUUUUUCGAAAUAUGGAAAGAUGAAAAAAUAUAAUAUCCAUAUAUUAAUUGUACAAGUUUUUCCACAGCUCUCUAUAAAUCUAGUGAAAAAGUACUAUUGAGGAAAUAAAUUUUAGCAAAAAUUACAAUUUCCUUAGAAAGCACUUUUAGCUAAGUUUUUCUCUGAGUUUUUGUUCAUAUAAGCUAUCUAUUAUAUUUUGUUUUCUUUACCAAGGAGAAUGUGUUAUGGGAACUUUAAUAACUUUUGAAAUUUUGCUUCGCAUUUAUAGAUUAUGUCGUCAAAUGAAAAAAAAAGCCUCCACAAAAAGCGCCGCCACCAAAACAACCGCAACAAUAGCCCCUUUCAUUUCACAACAACAAACUACGCAAAAAUCGCACAUGUAAAAAGUUUUGCAAAUGGUUUUAAUAGACCACUGCAUUGGGUAAUACAUGGAAGUAGUAACAUUGCGUUAAAUAACUGCCAAGCAAAUGCGAAAACGAAUGUAAAUGUUACAACAUUAUUUACUGCGAACCAUCGUGUCAUUAGCAACUAUAAAAAUAAUAUGGUUGACGUCACUAGCACCAAAUUGUCUCAUGCGAAAGGAUUUGUUGCCGGCGAUUUCGAUGUUGGUAUUGGAAACAUUAAAGGUGUUAUCUGGUGGCGCUGGAACAAAUACGACUGCUAACAAUAAUAUAAAUGACGGUGGAGAUAUCGGUAGGAUUAGUGGUGGUGGUGCUGGUGGAUGCAAUACUUUAGGUAAAAUUCUUGGUGGUACUGGUGGAUCAAGAGAGACUACUCACACGCAUGAGAAAAAUCUUGUGGGUGUGAAAAAGACAUACGAUUAUAAAUUAUUGCCUAAUAAUUAAUAUCAGUCCACACAAAAGUAAUGUUGAAAGCAUGGAGCUAAAAUUUGGAAAUACAUAAUUUAGUUUAAAAUUCCAGCAAUGCUUUACAUACACACAACAGAUACAAUUUUUUGCAAAGGAACUAGGUAUAACCCUUAAAAUAUAUUAAAAUGUAUUAUUAGAAGGUUUAGAUUACUUAUUUCCUAACGAUAUAUUUCUAGUUAUAUAUCCGUCAUUCCGUUUGUGUCGUAAUCAUGCAAGUAUUUGCUGACACGCAUUUCACAUUAUGUAUUAGUUUGUUCAAUUACUAAAUUCAUGUCUUAUUUUUCAAAGAGUGUCUAUUUAUAUUAAAAACACGUUAAUCAGCUUAGUCUUUGAUUUUAGAAACUAAGACCUGUAGUUUAAUUACAACAAGCGGGAACGUAUCGGCAAUAGUACGCAAGAAAAUAACAUGAUACGUUAAUCAACUGAACGGAAUCGGAUUCUAGAGCACUGGUUAUAAAAGCGAUACAGAACGGUAUCGUGGUAGUGAAAAUCGUAUGCCGAUUUCGUCAUAUGCAUUCUGUUCCGAAAUUGACAGUGUUAAAAGUUGUCAAUAUUUGUAUUUGUUUACUAAUUGAAAGCAAAAUUGUGUAGAGCUAAAUUAAAAAAAUUCGAUGUUUUUUUUUUUUUUUUUUUUUUUUUUUUUUUAACACAAAUGCCAAACAACUGUCAAAUUGACGGAAAAGCGGAAGAAUCUAAAAUCUACUAACCUUUACACUCCGUAUCAUCCCGCCGCGUUGAUUAUAACAAUUAGAUAUUUAAUUGACAAUCCACAACGUUGCUUUACCUUCCGUUAUUUUCGUUAUUACCAGCGUAUAACACUCGAAAGUACAAAACUCUCACGACAGACUGUUGUAUGGAUUGGAAUUGAUCCGGAUUUUGUCGUCUCACCACAUUUUCGGCGAACUGACCCGUUAGGAUAAUUAGUCAAACGCCGUGUCCAGCGUAGACACGAUAAAUGCGGUGCGGACGGUGCAGUGCGGUUCUAAAUUUUAACAUGUUUGCAAAUGUAGAUGUCCCAUGUUAGCACGAUUUUAUAAUAAUGUGUGUAUUUAGACGUCGCUGCAAAGCAUAUAAUCGUCUGAAGUUUAAAAGAUAGUGUUUUGAGGAAUAGAAGCCAUUUGUUGUACUAUGUUAACAUAUAUCAUAUAUAUUUUCUAAUAUGUAGUCAAAUAUUAAUAUCUGUAUUAUUGUAUACUCGUUAAAAUUGCUUUCACUUACUCACAAUUUCUCAAUAUUCUUACUUUAAAUAAACUGUCUAAUAAAAAAAUUACUUGCCGAAAGCGAGGCUACACAAUUUUAUUGUAGCCACUCGCAAUAACGCAUAAUCGCUUUGCAAUUCGACGUUUCUCGUAUAUUACUCACAAUUUUUCCGGCAGCUCCAUGUAGCAGGCCAUAGCACGUCGGGUACUGACAUCAGUCAUGUGCAACUCCUGCUGGCUGGUGCCACUUUCAAACAUACUCUGCCCUACGCUCCAUCCGUAAGUGGAGGGAUGUGUACGUUGCCCCUUCCAGUGGUAGUCUGUCCAUAUCUAUAUCUGCAACACUUCCGCCAGCCAACAACAACGUGCGGAACCCAAUCCAGGGUUUUACAAAAGCAACACAACAGACCCACACACCACUUCAAAGACCCACGUACUACGACUGCUACAAUUCAACUGUAACGGACACCAGGGAAAGACCGAUGAUAAAGUCGAUUUUUUGAGCCGAGAGAACCUGUUAACAACUGCGAUCCAGGAGACAAAAUUGACCGGGUAUAACAUCAUCCUCAAGAAUGGCGCGCGUGACCAUGGUGUAGGAGUGGAUGUUUAGCGUUCAUUUUACACAACGCGGUGUAAUAUCGUCUUAGAUAGCGUGCGUAUGCGCGUUACUCUGACGUUACUUAAUUUUCGGACGUUCGUAAUUUAAAAAUCUGGGCCGGAUUCACAGAGGUCACUGAGAUCGUCCUCAAUGCUCUCUCCACUUCCUUCCGCAGCAGACCGGAUUGAGGGAUAUAUAAACAUGUCGAAACGCGAUUUAGUUCGGUGGCCACGCCUUGUCGAAUCGUCGACUUACGUUCGCAGGUGAACUGCUAUCUCAACGACUAUUCCCUCAUCUUAACUGCAAGACAAUUUCGACUACAACAUGCGAAAUACUCGGCUCGAAGGAGUGCGAGCUCGCACUCGAUGGCUUAGCAAUUCCAACAACCAACAACUCAAAGAUAGUGGGAGUAACUAACUGAGCUCCUUCACUCCGGAUACGACUGCAACUGCCACAAAACUCCAAAGCCGUAACAAAAUCCUCAAAGGGUUAGCCGGCAGCGCCUUGAGGAAAAAACCAGAAACGUUAAUGGCAACUUUCGAAGCAAAAGGGAGUACUCGAUCUCAAGGACUGCACUCUGCACCAUAGACAACCACCGCUAGACAGGAGGGCUUACCUGACCUCUCUUCUAGUAAAUAGCAUUCUCGGAGUCAAACGACCACCUGUUGCAGACGGAGAGUACGAGUGCCUCGAGAGGCAAGCGCCGUAACUCCUACCUAUCCAGACUUGACGGAGGCAUAUCCAACGUCUGACCUUCAUGCAGUACGCUGCACUAACCACUUCUUUGCAUGCCCAGUACAACCAUCUUAUAUAAUCCUUUUUUCCCGUCGAUGAUCUAGUUUACAGACUGAUCCAGCAUAGUUGUAAGUGGGGUUAGCGAACUCUCCUUGCGGCGGUUCGGGUUAGCGGUUCAAGAAUUUACUAUAUGCUAUAGAUUUUAACAUCCACUCAUUGGUUUGCAAGUCAAUGUCAUUCUAGAUGCGGAAAUGUCAAAUUUAAUUCUAAUAUUGGGUGUGUGCAUUAGUAGUUAAAAGUAAUUAAUAUUAGUUUUUUUUUUAACAAAAAGAGUAUGUGUUCAUGUACAAUAUUAAUAUAAAAAUUUGAGUUCAACUAAUGACGAAAAUUAUGAAAAAAUUAGGAAGGAAGGAAUUAGGAAACGUCAGACUCCAUACAGUGAUCCAUUAUCAUUACCGAAUAUAGCUGAAGCAUUUGAAUAUUAAUUUCGCCAACUUUAUUUACAACGUUGAAUAUUUCUGAAGCGGGUACGUUCGACCAAAUAGGCCUUGCAGUAUUUCAUGUUAGAAAUUAGUUUAAAGCAUUCAGUCUUAAGUGUUACAAUUGGCACUAUAACUUUUGGUAAAGGGUGGUUAUCAACACUCAGUAGGUAGUGACUACCUUUUAACAAUAAGAAAACGUGCUCUAGGCGUAUUGAAUUUUUUUUGUACAAGACGUCUUUGAUUGUUUUUGAUACACACAGAAUACCUCGAAUAGUCAUUCAUGAACUCUGUCAAUAAAGCCUUUUAAACCGCAUAAACUUAUUGUAAUUAGUUUUAAAAUAAUAUUUCAUGUAGUAAAAAUAAAUCCAUUAUUUUUGUAUAAAA